GAUGAACGCUAGCUACAGGCUUAACACAUGCAAGUCGAGCGAAGCACAUAAAAGAUUUCUUCGGAUUGAUUUUAUGUGACUGAGCGGCGGACGGGUGAGUAACGCGUGGGGAACCUGCCCCAUACCGGGGGAUAACAGUUAGAAAUGACUGCUAAUACCGCAUAAGCGCACACUGAGGCAUCUCAGAGUGUGAAAAACUCCGGUGGUAUGGGAUGGACCCGCGUUGGAUUAGCCAGUUGGCGGGGUAACGGCCCACCAAAGCGACGAUCCAUAGCCGGCCUGAGAGGGCGACCGGCCACAUUGGGACUGAGACACGGCCCAAACUCC
rnacentral:rRNA from 1 species